rnacentral:lncRNA from 1 species
CCUACAACAUCAACAUAACUUAAAUCUUAUCUGCUGUCAGAGACAUUGCUCAAAUUUUUUUUACCCUCAAGUCUUUCCUGACUUUGCACGGUUGGAGUGGAUCUUCCUUUUUCUCUCUACUCCCGCUAUACCUCACUGACAUCACUCUUUUUGGCGUUUAAUUUUACUUUGUGAACUGUUUAUUUUGCCGCUCUAAUAUUAGAUUGUAAGCUCCUAGAAGCCAAAAACAUUAAGAAUACGCUUAUUAUCCUGAAAUAGAAGGCUUAAGACUUGCUCAUCACUUUUCCCACUAUCAGAAAUGUAGUGCCUUCUCAAAUGCUCGGCCCCAUACACGUUCUUUAAGUUCAUAAUGGCCACUUGACGUCCUGUGGGCAAUGAAAGAUGUAGAAUGACUACUACAAAGAAAAAGCUUCAUCCACCUCUUCAGGCAGGAAUGUACUGGAGAGAGUGACUGAUGCAAAUCCAGGUCAUUCCAGAAAUUUUUUUGAAAAAAGCAAAGCUGGACAGGUUGGGGACCAAACGUUGAGGAAUAAGGCAAGACUCAGAGAGCGAGCUGGAAACAGAGCUUGAGUCCCUUACUGCUGUGAACUCCAAGAACGAGAGAGAGAGAGAGAAGAAGCAAGUAGCGAAAAGGCAAAAGGAAUAAAGCUUUCAUAUUGGAGAUGAAGAUCUUGAUCCGUGAUCUUGGGAGAGCUGUCCACUACAAGGUGCCAUCCUGUUUUGAGGAAAAGCACAUAUGUAAUUAUCUGAAUUGGAAGCAGAAUUGGCAGCUUUCUUCAUGGAACACCAUUUUUACUUGAAAGAAUAACUGAAAAACAGACAAACUAUGAUUAGUCAAACUUGCAUCUUCAGUGGACAUUUUCUCAAAAAUGAAUGAAAUUCCAGAUUGUAACUAACGUUUAAGAAACUAUUAAUUGUCAAGUUUUGGCAUAGUUUCAAAAAAGAACAUCCAUGAUGAUCUGAAAGGCUAUUAAAAAUACUUCUUUUU